AGCUUUACGCAGUGGCAGUAUCGUAGCCAAUGAGGUUUAUCCGAGGCACGAUUAUCGCUGAUUGAAAACUCUAAAAUUCUUGGAUUUGCUGGACUUUGGCGACCUGA
rnacentral:snRNA from 1 species